AACUGGACUAGGCCGGGCGGUUAGGCCCCGCUCUCACCCCGCGCUAUGGUCUUCAGCGGGGGCCGAAACCCGGGGGCGUCCGUGCAGACGGGCGCGGGCCCCGUUAGCCAACGUCGAAGCCUCGUCCUGCGGGGGUAGCGGUCGGCACUGAAUCGCCUGCAGGGGCGUGCCGGUGUCGUUAACCGGGGGCAAUCCGCCAGGCGCGGAAGCGAGCAGCGGACCCCUGGACACCUGCCGCUCGCAGGGUCGCGGGGUGGAGGAGGCACGCGGGAUUCCCCACGCUCGAACGCCGGGCCAUCCCGGGCGUCCACUC
rnacentral:SRP_RNA from 23 species